rnacentral:rRNA from 1 species
CGGGGUGCAGCAGGCGCGAAAACUUUACAAUGCUGGCAACAGCGAUAAGGGGACCUUGAGUGCCAGGAUACAAUCCUGGCUGUCGUGAUGCCUAAAAAGCAUUAUAUAGCAAGGGCCGGGCAAGACCGGUGCCAGCCGCCGCGGUAACACCGGCGGCUCGAGUGGUAACCGCUAUUAUUGGGUCUAAAGGGUCUGUAGCCGGCUUGGUUAGUCUCUUGGGAAAUCCGGCAGCUUAACUGUCGGGCUUUCAGGAGAUACUGCCAGGCUCGAGACCGGGAGAGGUGAGAGGUACUUCAUGGGUAGGGGUGAAAUCUUGUAAUCCUUGAAGGACCACCAGUGGCGAAGGCGUCUCACCAGAACGGAUCUGACGGCAAGGGACGAAAGCUAGGGGCACGAACCGGAUUAGAUACCCGGGUAGUCCUAGCCGUAAACGAUACUCGCUAGGUGUCGGCCACGGUGCGACCGUGGUCGGUGCCGUAGGGAAGCCGUGAAGCGAGCCACCUGGGAAGUACGGCCGCAAGGCUGAAACUUAAAGGAAUUGGCGGGGGAGCA